UUCCAAUUAGAGGUCCUCUUACG
rnacentral:siRNA from 1 species